CCGCACGGGUGAGUAACACGUAUCCAACCUGCCGUCUACUCUUGGACAGCCUUCUGAAAGGAAGAUUAAUACAAGAUGGCAUCAUGAGUCCGCAUGUUCACAUGAUUAAAGGUAUUCCGGUAGACGAUGGGGAUGCGUUCCAUUAGAUAGUGGCGGGGUAACGGCCCACCUAGUCUUCGAUGGAUAGGGGUUCUGAGAGGAAGGUCCCCCACAUUGGAACUGAGACACGGUCCAA
rnacentral:rRNA from 1 species